GGAAUUGUUCGCAAUGGGCGAAAGCCUGACGACGCAACGCCGCGUGGAGGACGAAGAUCUUCGGGUCGUAAACUCCUGUCGAGCGGGAAGAACCGUAUCCGGGUGAAUAGCCCGGGUGCCUGACGGUCCCGCUAGAGGCAGCCCCGGCUCACUCCGUGCCCGCAGCCGCGGUAAUACGGGGGGGGCAAGCGUUGUUCGGAUUUACUGGGCGUAAAGGGCUCGUAGGCGGCCACUUAAGUCGGCUGUGAAAUCCCCCGGCUCAACCGGGGAAUUGCGUCCGAUACUGGGUGGCUUGAAGCCGGGAGAGGGAUGCGGAAUUCCAGGUGUAGCGGUGAAAUGCGUAGAUAUCUGGAGGAACACCCGUGGCGAAGGCGGCAUCCUGGACCGGUCUUGACGCUGAGGAGCGAAAGCUAGGGUAGCAAAC
rnacentral:rRNA from 1 species